CUACGGGUCGCUCCAGUGGGGAAUAUUGCACAAUGGGCGCAAGCCUGAUGCAGCCAUGCCGCGUGUAUGAAGAAGGCCUUCGGGUUGUAAAGUACUUUCAGCGGGGAGGAAGGGAGUAAAGUUAAUACCUUUGCUCAUUGACGUUACCCGCAGAAGAAGCACCGGCUAACUCCGGUGCCAGCAGCCGCGGUAAUACGGAGGGUGCAAGCGUUAAUCGGAAUUACUGGGCGUAAAGCGCACGCAGGCGGUUUGUUAAGUCAGAUGUGAAAUCCCCGGGCUCAACCUGGGAACUGCAUCUGAUACUGGCAAGCUAGAGGCUCGUAGAGGGGGGUAGAAUUCCAGGUGUAGCGGUGAAAUGCGUAGAGAUCUGGAGGAAUACCGGUGGCGAAGGCGGCCCCCUGGACGAAGACUGACGCUCAGGUGCGAAAGCGUGGGGAGCAAACAGGAUUAGAUACCCGUGUAGUC
rnacentral:rRNA from 1 species